AUACGUAGGGUGCGAGCGUUGUCCGGAAUUACUGGGCGUAAAGAGCUCGUAGGUGGUUUGUCGCGUCGUCUGUGAAAUUCCGGGGCUUAACUCCGGGCGUGCAGGCAAUACGGGCAUAACUUGAGUACUGUAGGGGAGACUGGAAUUCCUGGUGUAGCGGUGAAAUGCGCAGAUAUCAGGAGGAACACCGGUGGCGAAGGCGGGUCUCUGGGCAGUAACUGACGCUGAGGAGCGAAAGCAUGGGUAGCGAACAGGAUUAGAUACCCUGGUAGUCCAUGCCGUAAACGGUGGGCGCUAGGUGUAGGGGUCUUCCACGACUUCUGUGCCGUAGCUAACGCAUUAAGCGCCCCGCCUGGGGAGUACGGCCGCAAGGCUAAAACUCAAAUGAAUUGGCGGGG
rnacentral:rRNA from 1 species